CACUUUUAGAUGCUCUUCAGAAACUUGAGUAACCAUUCAGCUUUAGCAGGCCUGCCUAGUCAUGCACAUAAACGAAAAUGCACCACUGAACAAGUCUGUAGGCACUUGUUUUUUACAAAUAGCAUGUAAGAAACAACAGAAAUAUAGUAUAACUAAAGAGAUAACUGAGGAAAACACACUGAAUUUGCACUACAAGGAUAGCCAGGAAUCCAAAAAGGAAAAAUAUCACUAUAGUCUUAAAUAGCACGAUUUGCACCUAUGCUGACGGACCAAUGAACACACAAACUAGCCCAUCAAUCCAUAAGUGACAUCUUCAAGCAAGUGAUCCAUUUGGUCCGCGCACCACUGUGACGGGGCAGGUUGCAUUGUUGACGACAUAAUUGCUGACGCUUCCAAGGAGUGCCCUGCAUCGAGGUCCAAGGAGAUGUAGAAAUAUGAGAAAAACUCUGAUUAGCCAAGAACUAGAUCCUCAUAGUUUAGUCAGAAAGAGGUUCAGAUGUACUACCUUUUCAACGGCC
rnacentral:lncRNA from 1 species